AACGAACGCUGGCGGCGCGUUUUAAGCAUGCAAGUCGGACGGCAAGCACUGUAGCAAUAUGGUGCCUAGAGUGGCGAACGGGUGAGUAACACGUAGGUGAUCUACCUCUGGAUGGGGGAUAGCCCGUGGAAACACGGGGUAAUACCGCAUGAGGCCCUUGGUGUAAAGGCUGAGGGUGAAAGGUGCAAUUGCACCGUCUGGGGAUGAGCCUGCGGUCCAUUAGUUAGUUGGCGGGGUAAGAGCCCACCAAGACUCCGAUGGAUAGCCGGCCUGAGAGGGUGUACGGCCACACUGGAACUGAGACACGGUCCAGACUCCUACGGGUGGCUG
rnacentral:rRNA from 1 species